GACGAACGCUGGCGGCGUGCUUAACACAUGCAAGUCGUACGGUAAGGCCCUUUCGGGGGUACACGAGUGGCGAACGGGUGAGUAACACGUGAGUAACCUGCCCACAACUUUGGGAUAACGCUAGGAAACUGGUGCUAAUACUGGAUAUGUGCUCCUGCUGCAUGGUGGGGGUUGGAAAGCUCCGGCGGUUGUGGAUGGACUCGCGGCCUAUCAGCUUGUUGGUGGGGUAGUGGCCUACCAAGGCGGCGACGGGUAGCCGGCCUGAGAGGGUGACCGGCCACAUUGGGACUGAGAUACGGCCCAGACUCCUACGGGAGGCAGCAGUGGGGAAUAUUGCACAAUGGGCGCAAGCCUGAUGCAGCAACGCCGCGUGCGGGAUGACGGCCUUCGGGUUGUAAACCGCUUUCAGCAGGGACGAAGCGUUUUGUGACGGUACCUGCAGAAGAAGCACCGGCUAACUACGUGC
rnacentral:rRNA from 1 species